rnacentral:rRNA from 1 species
CCUACGGGAGGCAGCAGUGGGGAAUAUUGGACAAUGGGCGAAAGCCUGAUCCAGCAAUUCCGCGUGUGUGAAGAAGGCCUUCGGGUUGUAAAGCACUUUAGUGGGGGAAGAAACAGCUUGGCCACACCGAGCCUUGACGGUACCCCAAGAAUAAGCACCGGCUAACUCUGUGCCAGCAGCCGCGGUAAUACAGAGGGUGCAAGCGUUAAUCGGAUUUACCGGGCGUAAAGGGUGCGUAGGUGGCUAUUUAAGUCGGAUGUGAAAGCCCGGGGCUCAACCUCGGAAUUGCAUUCGAUACUGAGUGGCUAGAGUUCGGUAGAGGGCGGCGGAAUUUCCGGUGUAGCGGUGAAAUGCGUAGAUAUCGGAAGGAACAUCAAUGGCGAAGGCAGCCGCCUGGGCCUGGACUGACACUGAGGCACGAAAGCGUGGGUAGCAAACAGGAUUAGAUACCCUGGUAGUCCACGCCGUAAACGAUGAGAACUUGACGUUGGUUCGUUUUACGAAUCGGUGUCGCAGCUAACGCGAUAAGUUCUCCGCCUGGGGAGUACGGCCGCAAGGUUGAAACUUAAAUGAAAUUGACGG